rnacentral:lncRNA from 1 species
CCCUCCCCGCAGUGGCAUCCCAGCCCGCCGGACAGCCCUCCCCAGCCCACUCCUGGAGCGGACAGCGAGGCCACAACACUGGACUGCCCAGCGCCGGCAGACAGUGGGCACCGAGAGAAGGCACCCUGAGCUGGACGCCUCCCUCCAGACCUGGAGAAAGGGAGCCGGCGCCGGGAAGGUGUGGUGUGACCGCGCCAGGCGCCCCCACCCAGCAAGCACCCGCCCUGGGCCGGGAGCCUCCACCUGCCCUGCGCUCUGCCAGCAGCCCCC